UAUGAAUGGUUUGACGAGAGCUAUGCUGUCUCUUUUGAAUAUUUAAAAAUUAACUUUUAGGUGAAGAGGCCUAAAUUUAUUUAAGGGACAAGAAGACCCUGUUGAGCUUUAGUGAAACUUGUGAGUAUAUUAUCAGCGGCGUAGUUCAAUGCUGGUUGUUAUGUAUUUAUAUAUAGUAAGAGCUCGCGGUUAAUCUUUAGUUGGGGCGACUAAGGAACAAAAAAAGCUUCCUUUAAAUUAAAUACUUUUUUUUAAGUAAAAUGAGAAAAUUUUAAUGCUUUUGUGUUAUUUAGAUCCAAUUUAUUUUGAUUAAAGGAAAAAGUUACCACGGGGAUAACAGCGUAAUCUUUCUGGAGAGAUCUUAUCGAAAGAAGGGUUUGCCACCUCGAUGUUGGACUAAGAUAUCCUAAGGGUGCAGAAGCUCUUAAAGGUUGGUCUGUUCGACCAUUAAAAUCUU
rnacentral:rRNA from 1 species